CUGCUGCCUUCCGUAGGAGUUUGGGCCGUGUCUCAGUCCCAAUGUGGCCGUCCACCCUCUCAGGCCGGCUACUGAUCGCUGCCUUGGUGGGCCGUUACCCCGCCAACUAGCUAAUCAGACGCGGAUCCAUCGUGUACCACCGGAGUUUUUCACACUGCCCCAUGCGGAGCCGUGCGCUUAUGCGGUAUUAGCACCUAUUUCUAAGUGUUAUCCCCCGGUAUACGGCAGGUUAUCCACGCGUUACUCACCCGUCCGCCA
rnacentral:rRNA from 1 species